rnacentral:rRNA from 2 species
UAGGGAAUCUUCGGCAAUGGGGGGAACCCUGACCGAGCAACGCCGCGUGAGUGAAGAAGGUUUUCGGAUCGUAAAGCUCUGUUGUUAAGGAAGAACGAGUGUGAGAAUGGAAAGUUCAUGCUGUGACGGUACUUAACCAGAAAGGGACGGCUAACUACGUGCCAGCAGCCGCGGUAAUACGUAGGUCCCGAGCGUUGUCCGGAUUUAUUGGGCGUAAAGCGAGCGCAGGCGGUUAGAAAAGUCUGAAGUGAAAGGCAGUGGCUCAACCAUUGUAGGCUUUGGAAACUGUUUAACUUGAGUGCAGAAGGGGAGAGUGGAAUUCCAUGUGUAGCGGUGAAAUGCGUAGAUAUAUGGAGGAACACCGGUGGCGAAAGCGGCUCUCUGGGCUGUAACUGACGCUGAGGCUCGAAAGCGUGGGGAGCGAACAGG